rnacentral:rRNA from 1 species
CCCCUAGAUGUUCUGGGCCGCACGCGCGCUACACUGAACAGUUCAACAAGUCUUAACCUUGGCCGAUAGGUCUGGGUAAUCUUUGAACGCUGUUCGUGAUUGGGAUAGACCUUUGCAAUUAUGGGUCUUCAACGAGGAAUUCCUAGUAAACGCAAGUCAUCGGCUUGCAUUGAUUACGUCCCUGCCCUUUGUACACACCGCCCGUCGCACCUACCGAUUGAAUGGUCCGGUGAAAUCUCGGGACGGCGGCUUGGUCGCUUGCGUCCGACUGCUGAAACUUGAUUAAACCAUAUCAUUUAGAGGAAGGUGAANUCGUANCA